rnacentral:rRNA from 1 species
AACGAACGCUGGCGGCAUGCCUAACACAUGCAAGUCGAACGAGACCUUCGGGUCUAGUGGCGCACGGGUGCGUAACGCGUGGGAAUCUGCCCCUUGGUUCGGAAUAACAGCGAGAAAUUGCUGCUAAUACCGGAUAAUGACGUAAGUCCAAAGAUUUAUCGCCAAGGGAUGAGCCCGCGUAGGAUUAGCUAGUUGGUGUGGUAAAGGCGCACCAAGGCGACGAUCCGUUAGCUGGUCUGAGAGGAUGAUCAGCCACACUGGGACUGAGACACGGCCCAGACUCCUACGGGAGGCAGCAGUGGGGAAUAUUGGACAAUGGGCGAAAGCCUGAUCCAGCAAUGCCGCGUGAGUGAUGAAGGCCUUAGGGUUGUUAAAGCUCUUUUACCCGUAGAUGAUAAUGACAGUAUC